AUUGUCCUACGGGGGGCAGCAGUGGGGAAUAUUGGGCAAUGGAGGAAACUCUUACCCAGCAAUGCCGCGUGAAUGAAGAAGGUCUUCGGAUUGUAAAGUUCUUUAAUUGGGGACGAAAAAAAUGACGGUACCCAAGGAAGAAGCCCCGGCUAGCUACGUGCCAGCAGCCGCGGUAAUACGUAGGGGGCAAGCGUUAUCCGGAUUUACUGGGUGUAAAGGGAGCGUAGACGGCAUGGCAAGACAGAUGUGAAAGCCCGGGGCUCAACCCCGGGACUGCAUUUGAAACUGUCAGGCUGGAGUGCAGG
rnacentral:rRNA from 1 species